rnacentral:rRNA from 1 species
GAUGAACGCUGGCGGCGUGCCUAAUACAUGCAAGUCGAGCGAACGGACGAGAAGCUUGCUUUUCUGAUGUUAGCGGCGGACGGGUGAGUAACACGUGGAUAACCUACCUAUAAGACUGGGAUAACUUCGGGAAACCGGAGCUAAUACCGGAGAAUAUUUUGAACCGCAUGGUUCAAAAGUGAAAGACGGUCUUGCUGUCACUUAUAGAUGGAUCCGCGCUGCAUUAGCUAGUUGGUAAGGUAACGGCUUACCAAGGCAACGAUGCAUAGCCGACCUGAGAGGGUGAUCGGCCACACUGGAACUGAGACGCGGUCCAGACUCCUACGGGACGCAGCAGUAGGGAAUCUUCCGCAAUGGGCGAGAGCCUGACGGAGCAACGCCGCGUGAGUGAUGAAGGUCUUCGGAUCGUAAAACUCUGUUAUUAGGGAAGAACAUAUGUGUAAGUAACUGUGCACAUCUUGACGGUACCUAAUCAAAAAGCCACGGCUAACUACGUG